rnacentral:rRNA from 1 species
GAUGAACGCUGGCGGCGUGCCUAACACAUGCAAGUCGAGCGAUUUACUUCGGUAAAGAGCGGCGGACGGGUGAGUAACGCGUGGGUAACCUGCCCUGUACACACGGAUAACAUACCGAAAGGUAUGCUAAUACGAGAUAAUAUGCUUUUAUCGCAUGGUAGAAGUAUCAAAGCUCCGGCGGUACAGGAUGGACCGGCGUCUGAUUAGCUAGUUGGUAAGGUAACGGCUUACCAAGGCGACGAUCAGUAGCCGACCUGAGAGGGUGAUCGGCAACAUUGGAACUGGGACACGGUCCAAACUCCUACGGGAGGCAGCAGUGGGGAAUAUUGCACAAUGGGCGAAAGCCUGAUGCAGCAACGCCGCGUGAGCGAUGAAGGCCUUCGGGUCGUAAAGCUCUGUCCUCAAGGAAGAUAAUGACGGUACUUGAGGAGGAAGCCCCGGCUAACUACGUGCCAGCAGCCGCGGUAAUAC